rnacentral:ncRNA from 1 species
UAAAUCGAGAGUUUGAUCCUGGCUCAGGAUGAACGCUGGCGGCGUGCCUAAUACAUGCAAGUCGAGCGCAUCGGCCCAACUGAUUGAAGAUGCUUGCAUCCGAUUGACGAUGGUUUACCGAUGAGCGGCGGACGGGUGAGUAACACGUAGGUAACCUGCCCAGAAGCGGGGGAUAACACCUGGAAACAGAUGCUAAUACCGCAUAGGUCAUUUGACCGCAUGGUCAAAUGAUUAAAGAUGGCUCUGCUAUCACUUCUGGAUGGACCUGCGGCGUAUUAGCUAGUUGGUAAGGUAACGGCUUACCAAGGCAAUGAUACGUAGCCGAGUUGAGAGACUGAUCGGCCACAUUGGGACUGAGACACGGCCCAGACUCCUACGGGAGGCAGCAGUAGGGAAUCUUCCACAAUGGACGCAAGUCUGAUGGAGCAACGCCGCGUGAGCGAAGAAGGUCUUCGGAUCGUAAAACUCUGUUGUUAGAGAAGAACACGGGU